GUGCUCCCUCUGGCAGCACAUAUACUAAAAUUGGAAUGGUACAGAGAAGAUUAUUAUGGCUCCUACACAAGGAUGGCAUGCAAAUUCAUGAAGCAUUCUGUAUUUUU
ensembl:snRNA U6 U6 spliceosomal RNA